CAGCGUCCAAGCUCCAUUCCGAAUCAUCCCGUGGCCAAAGAAGGAAGUCCACGUUUCCAGCUCCCUUCCAGAUCAGCGAUCCCGCGUCCCCCUCUUCCGGAUUCGAGACCUCAGCAUCCGCGUUCCUCUCGGUUCCUCCGCCGCCCAGCAGCCCGAGUAUGCCGCCAUCAACAACCGUCCCCGCCUUGCACGCAAUCGUCCAUCGCGUUCGCUAGCGAAGCCGCAUCCCAACUGCAAGGCAUCUCCAAAUCCUCCGCAAUCCCAGCCUCCCAGCAUCCGUUUCUCCUCCCAGCGGUCUCACAGCGCCCCUCGUCCGUAUUCAUCUGCACCGGAUCUCUUCCACGAUUCCCUCCUUCCCGUGAUCCGAGCCUCCACUGCGUCCGUGAUCAAUCUCCUCCACGAUCCGCCCAGCCACGGCAUCCCACGCUGCAAUCAAGCUUCUCCCAUCCGAUUGCAAGGCGUGAUCCCAGCAUUCCCAGCAUCCGUUUCUUCCCGUCUCAGCCCGUGCGAAAAGAGGGAAGGAGCAAUACCAGCAAGCCGUGAUCCAGCCAACCGUUGGAGCUCCCAGAUUCACGCGUCCGUCUUCCUCUUCCGCUUCAUCAUCGUCAUCUUCCGAGUUCCAGCCAUCCACAUGCUUGCU
rnacentral:lncRNA from 1 species